UUAAGCUAUAUUUAAGCUAGGUUAGCACCACAGACCGUAGGCUACAGGUGGUAAGAUAUGUUGUAUUUUGUUAGAAACUGAUAGUCUGCAAUGUGAUUCAUGUCUGCUUUUCUAAUAUAUUUAACUGAACAGUAAAUCAAUUGUUUUUGUAUUUUCAUUUAGGCAAAGAAGAGAUAAAAGCAGCUGGUCUGACAUCUUCCACAGAGGUGAAGCAGGUCAGGCUGGGGUCACAUAGUUUGAAGGAACCUCCUCCUUCUUUCACCUGUGCCAGAUGCCCUGCUCAUCCACUGUGGUAGAAAUGACCUUACACCAGCAGCUCUCCCAGAUGAAGAGUCCUCUCUGCCAUCACCCAGAGGAGCUGAUCAACGUCUGCACAACUGAAGAAGGUGGACAGAGUCUGGAGCUUUGUGACAGUGAACAGUGAGAAGGCUACCAUAGUCAUCCUCAGAUAAAACACAGAGAUCCUGGUCAAUAUUCAAUGCUGCUAUUUUUCUUUACAUGAUGUUGCCCCAUGUUUGAAAGGCCAGAUGCUGGAGGGUUGUGUUGGAUUUGCUUUUCCAUCAUAUUUUAACAGUCAAACAAUCAUCCAGGAUCUUUAUACUUUAUUUGAUUUUUGUUUGGAUUUCUUUUUAUACUUUCUCCUAUGUCCCAGCAAUUCAACCUGAUGGUCUCCCUUACUUAUUUUCCACAUGGUUAAUGAAGCCAGGUGUUGUUUAUUUAAGUUUUUUUUUUUCAUAAAAUGUUUAAAUAAACUUUUUUUAAAUCUGAAUUGACUGUCUCUGAUUAACUGGAGCACUACAAAGUGUUGGUCACAGUAAAAUAAUUUAGCAGU